GAUGAACGCUGGCGGCGUGCUUAACACAUGCAAGUCGAGCGGUCGGAGCAGAACUUGCUCUGCUGGAUCAGUGGCGCACGCGUGAGUAACACGUGAGCAAUCUGCCCCUAACUCUGGGAGAUACGCUGGAAACAGCGUCUCAUACUGGAGACGAGAUGCGAAGGCAUAUUCAUCAGCAGUAAAGAACGUCGGUCCGGGAUGAUCUCGCGGCCUAUCAGCUUGUUGGUCAGGUAACGACUUACCAAGGCAUCCAUGGGUAGCCGGCCUGAGAGACUGAUCGGCCACACUGGAAGUGAGACACGGACCAGGCGCCUACGAGAGGCAGCAGAAGGGAAUGGUACGCAGUGGGCGAAAGCCUGACGGAGCGACGCCGCGUGAGUGAUGAAGGCCUUCGGUUCGUAAAACUCUGUUAUGAGGGAAGAACAUAUGUGUGAAGAACAGUGCCCAUCGUGACGGUACCUGAACAGAAAGCCACGGCUAACUACGUG
rnacentral:rRNA from 1 species